AUGUUGGCUGUCCGGUGCGCCGGCGGCGGCGGCGGCUCCGGUGGCGCCGGCGCCUACCUGACGGCUCAGAGGACAACGGCCGCUCGGAGCGGAGCCUUCAACGGCCGCAGCGCCCUUCUUGCUGCGGGAACGGGGGCCAGGGAGCUGAGCCUUAGGGUUUCCCUCUCGCCCAACUCCCACCCCCACCGCGUCGGCGCUUCAUGCCCGUGGCCAGUGCGUUGCUCCCCCUGUCCUUCUCCUGAUAUGGAGGUGCCGCGUGUCAGUAAGAAGAAGACCAGGAACGAGGAAUGGGAGGCGUUGAAGACGGAGUUCGGACGCAUGUUCCGCCCGCAGCUUCGCAAUCUAGGGGAACUCUUUUCGCUCCGCCGUGUCUACGACAUUGAGGAUUAUCAGCUGGGCAUCCUAUUUGGUGCAUUUCUUGGAUGUGUUGGCUGUUACCAACUUUGGAAGACGGCACCUUCCAUAUUUGUUGAUGCAGUGCUCGCAUUCGUCUUCUACAAGCUCAGUGUUGUAUCUUCAGAGCUACAUAGAAGCCACAAGUCCAACAGCCUGAUUACGCGGCUGAAAUUUGGUACCAUACUUAUCAUGGUUUGGAAGGACAUCAAGAAAAACUAUGUCCUCCUGGAUGUUAUUAGGAUGCCGGUUCUCCUCCUCUACAUCUGUGCAUUCCUGUUCGAUGUUGCUGGCGUGAAGAAGUAUGGAAGGCAAGGCUUGGUCUAUUUUGUUAAUCUGUUGAAAACCAGAGGUGGGAUUCAAGAGAUAUACAGGAUUAUGUGGUUGCCUGGCUAUGUCUCUCCCUAUGACGAUUCUGCAAACUAG
rnacentral:rRNA from 1 species